rnacentral:tmRNA from 1 species
UCUUGCCAGGAGACUAAGCAUGUAGAUGUUUUGCAGGGGUUUAUUUCGGACGGGAGUUCGAAUCUCCCCGCCUCCACUU